rnacentral:rRNA from 1 species
ACGGUCUCAGUUCGGAUUGAAGGCUGAAAUUCGCCUUCAUGAAGCUGGAAUUGCUAGUAAUGGCAGGUCAGCAUACUGCCGUGAAUACGUUCCCGGGCCUUGUACACACCGCCCGUCACACCAUGAGGGUUGGAAAUACCCGAAGCCUGUGAGCUAACUGUAAAGAGGCAGCAGUCGAAGGUAGAGCCAAUGAUUGGGGUGAAGUCGUAACAAGGUAAC